GGCUUAACCCCGGAACUGCAUUCGAUACUGCGGUGCUGAGGGACUGGAGAGGAGACUGGAAUUCAUGGUGUAGCAGUGAAAUGCGUAGAGAUCAUGAGGAAGACCAGUGGCGAAGGCGGGCCUCUGGACAGUUCCUGACACUGAGGCACGAAGGCCAGGGGAGCAAACGGGAUUAGAUACCCCGGUAGUCCUGGCAGUAAACGGUGCACGUUUGGUGUGGGAGGAUUCGACCCCUUCCGCGCCGGAGCUAACGCGUUAAACGUGCCGCCUGGGGAGUACGGUCGCAAGAUUAAAACUCAAAGAAAUUGACGGGGGCCCGCACAAGCGGUGGAGUAUGUGGCUUAAUUCGAUGCAACGCGAAGAACCUUACCAGGCCUUGACAUGCAUCUCUAAGCGGGUGAAAGCCCGUGACUCCCGAAAGGGAGAAUUUGCACAGGUGCUGCAUGGCUGUCGUCAGCUCGUGUCGUGAGAUGUUGGGUUAAGUCCCGCAACAAGCGCAACCCCUGUGAACUGUUGCCACCUCCGAGUGAUCGGAGAGCACUCUGUUCAGACUGCCCUGUGAAACGGGGAGGAAGGUGGGGACGACGUCAAGUCAGUAUGGCCCUUACGGCCUGGGCUGCACACGUACUACAAUGCCCAGUACAGAACGAUCCGAGACCGCGAGGUGGAGGAAAUCUAGUAAAACUGGGCCCAGUUCGGAUUGGAGUCUGCAACUCGACUCCAUGAAGCCGGAAUCGCUAGUAAUGGCGCAUCAGCUACGGCGCCGUGAAUACGUUCCCGGGCCUUGUACACACCGCCCGUCACAUCAUGGAAGUCAUUUGUAGCCGAAGUCGGCGCGCCAACUAGCAAUAGAGGCAGCCGCCUACGCUAUGAGCGGUAACUGGGAUGAAGUCGUAACAAGGUAACC
rnacentral:rRNA from 1 species